AAUUACAAUUUUCAUCAAUUUGUACAGUUAAAAACUGGUAUUGUUGACGGGAUAAUGAAGCAAUAACAUAUGGUGUGCUAUGUGUACUUCAUGUUGAUGUACACAGCUCAGUUUUUUACAAUAGAAAUAAAAGAAAUUUUUAAAG
rfam:Gossypium raimondii Chr04_contig_1238, whole genome shotgun sequence.